AACGGUGGCGGCAUGCCUUACACAUGCAAGUCGAACGGCAGCACGGGAGCAAUCCUGGUGGCGAGUGGCGAACGGGUGAGUAAUAUAUCGGAACGUGCCCAGUCGUGGGGGAUAACGCAGCGAAAGCUGUGCUAAUACCGCAUACGAUCUACGGAUGAAAGCGGGGGAUCGCAAGACCUCGCGCGAUUGGAGCGGCCGAUAUCAGAUUAGGUUGUUGGUGGGGUAAAAGCCCACCAAGCCGACGAUCUGUAGCUGGUCUGAGAGGACGACCAGCCACACUGGAACUGAGACACGGUCCAGACUCCUACGGGAGGCAGCAGUGGGGAAUUUUGGACAAUGGGCGCAAGCCUGAUCCAGCAAUGCCGCGUGCAGGAUGAAGGCCUUCGGGUUGUAAACUGCUUUUGUACGGAACGAAACGGUCUGCUCUAAUACAGUGGGCUAAUGACGGUACCGUAAGAAUAAGCACCGGCUAACUACGUGCCAGCAGCCGCGGUAAUACGUAGGGUGCGAGCGUUAAUCGGAAUUACUGGGCGUAAAGCGUGCGCAGGCGGUUACAUAAGACAGAUGUGAAAUCCCCGGGCUCAACCUGGGACCUGCAUUUGUGACUGUAUAGCUAGAGUGCGGCAGAGGGGGAUGGAAUUCCGCGUGUAGCAGUGAAAUGCGUAGAUAUGCGGAGGAACACCGAUGGCGAAGGC
rnacentral:rRNA from 1 species